rnacentral:rRNA from 1 species
UACCAGCACCCCGAGUGGUCGGGACGAUUAUUGGGCCUAAAGCAUCCGUAGCCGGUUCUGCAAGUCCCCCGUUAAAUCCAGCUGCUCAACAGAUGGGCCGCGGAGGAUACUACAGAGCUAGGAGGCAGGAGAGGCAAGCGGUACUCAGUGGGUAGGGGUAAAAUCCGUUGAUCCAUUGAAGACCACCAGUGGCGAAGGCGGCUCACUGGUCCGGUACUGACGCUGAGGUGCGAAAGCUAGGGGAGCAAACGGG